rnacentral:rRNA from 1 species
AACGAACGCCUUGGCGGCGUGGAUAAGACAUGCAAGUCGAACGAGAGAAUUGCUAGCUUGCUAAUAAUUCUCUAGUGGCGCACGGGUGAGUAACACGUGAGUAACCUGCCCCCGAGAGCGGGAUAGCCCUGGGAAACUGGGAUUAAUACCGCAUAGUAUCGAAAGAUUAAAGCAGCAAUGCGCUUGGGGAUGGGCUCGCGGCCUAUUAGUUAGUUGGUGAGGUAACGGCUCACCAAGGCGAUGACGGGUAGCCGGUCUGAGAGGAUGUCCGGCCACACUGGAACUGAGACACGGUCCAGACACCUACGGGUGGCAGCAGUCGAGAAUCAUUCACAAUGGGGGAAACCCUGAUGGUGUGACGCCGCGUGGGGGAAUGAAGGUCUUCGGAUUGUAAACCCCUGUCAUGUGGGAGCAAAUUAAAAAGAUAGUACCACAAGAGGAAGAGACGGCUAACUCUGUGCCAGCAGCCGCGGUAAUACAGAGGUCUCAAGCGUUGUUCGGAAUCACUGGGCGUAAAGCGUGCGUAGGCUGUUUCGUAAGUCGUGUGUGAAAGGCGCGGGCUCAACCCGCGGACGGCACAUGAUACUGCGAGACUAGAGUAAUGGAGGGGGAACCGGAAUUCUCGGUGUAGCAGUGAAAUGCGUAGAUAUCGAGAGGAACACUCGUGGCGAAGGCGGGUUCCUGGACAUUAACUGACGCUGAGGCACGAAGGCCAGGGGAGCGAAAGGGAUUAGAUACCCCUGUAGUCCUGGCAGUAAACGGUGCACGCUUGGUGUGCGGGGAAUCGACCCCCUGCGUGCCGGAGCUAACGCGUUAAGCGUGCCGCCUGGGGAGUACGGUCGCAAGAUUAAAACUCAAAGAAAUUGACGGGGACCCGCACAAGCGGUGGAGUAUGUGGCUUAAUUCGAUGCAACGCGAAGAACCUUACCUGGGCUUGACAUGUAAUGAACAACAUGUGAAAGCAUGCGACUCUUCGGAGGCGUUACACAGGUGCUGCAUGGCCGUCGUCAGCUCGUGUCGUGAGAUGUUUGGUUAAGUCCAGCAACGAGCGCAACCCCUGUUGCCAGUUACCAGCACGUGAAGGUGGGGACUCUGGCGAGACUGCCCAGAUCAAUUGGGAGGAAGGUGGGGACGACGUCAGGUCAGUAUGGCCCUUAUGCCCAGGGCUGCACACGUACUACAAUGCCCAGUACAGAGGGGGCCGAAGCCGCGAGGCGGAGGAAAUCCUGAAAACUGGGCCCAGUUCGGACUGUAGGCUGCAACCCGCCUACACGAAGCCGGAAUCGCUAGUAAUGGCGCAUCAGCUACGGCGCCGUGAAUACGUUCCCGGGUCU